ACUCGCGGGAGUCGUAGUAACAGUUGGCCUUCAAUUACUGGUUAUAGAGGAGCAUGGUUGGUUUUGAGAGGCUGAAGUUUAAGCUUUUUGUACAGAUUGAUUUAGGAGGCGUAUUAGGCGGGGAAGACUUAUCCGUGUGAUAGUAGGUUCCAGAACAAGCGUCUCCCAAGUGACGAGUCCCAUCCCCCCACGUGAUUUUGCAUCACUGGUAUCCAUAAAGAGCCUCACAAAAAGACAUUUUCCCGAUUCACCAUUGUUCAACCAAAGACGCCCACUGUACACUGCUAGGUUUGUGAUUAUAUCAUAACCUGACAAAAUUAUUGCAUAAUUUGGGCUACAGUCGGUUUUGUGUUGGCAGUAUUUGAUCUAUGUUCUUCACUCACAUGUAAUCUAUUCUUUCGGAUAGAGAGCUCUAGUCGAAGAGCACAGGUGGAUGGUGGAACAUAGGUGCACGGGCAUGAUCAGGUUUGCAGCAAAGUGUGUCUCAGCUUGGGCUGCCUUUUUCUUUGUUGCAGUUUUUACCUUUUUAUUUUAAAUAAAACGUUGCAGCUUGUAUGUAUUUCGGUUUUUGUGGUCUACAAAAGGGUUCUAGAAUUGGAGUAUUCUGGGUAGCGCUUGAAUUUUAUCCAUGGUUAGAGGUCUGGUUGGGAAGCCUUAGUUGGGGGAGCUUUAGAUGCAAAUCGGGUUGAACAGCCUUAUCGGCUGGCUGUUGGGUAUUCGUUCCAAGUAACUUUUACAACCGUAUGUUUACUUGAAGAUUUACUAUUAUAUGCUUUCUAGUGCUCUUAUAGAUAUUUCAAAUUUUUGGCAAAAUCAACGGUCCAAUACUUUGCUGCAAAUGAUUCAGUCUUUGUCUUGAGUUGCUUGUGGGGUUCUUAAGUUGAACACUGCCAAGUUGUUUGAUAGAAUUGGUGACCGAUGAGAAUUUUACUGGCUUUCCUAGUUCUGGAUUGAAGGUGAAGACAGAGCACUGACUAAUCCAAAAAAAAAAAAAAAAGUGAAGUCAGGGUACUUUUGUUUGGCCCUGAAGGAUUAGAAUCAUCCAAUAUGGGUAGCAUUAAGACCAUUGUUUGGUUUAGGAGGGACCUCAGAAUUGAGGACAAUCCUGCCUUAGCUGGUGCUGCUAGGGAUGGUUCUGUGUUUCCUGUCUAUAUUUGGAGCCCUAAAGAGGAAGGACAGUUUUGUCCAGGUCGAGUUUCAAGGUGGUGGCUGAAGCAAUCUCUAGCCCACUUGGAACAGUCCCUGAAGUCCCUUGGGGCUGAACUAAUGCUGAUCAAGACUGACAAUAUUCUCGAUACUCUUGUGGAAUGCAUCAAUGCUGUUGGGGCAACAAAAGUGGUAUUCAACCAUCUUUACGAUCCUGUUUCACUUGUUCGAGAUCACAGCAUCAAAGAAAAACUGAGGGAGCUAGGCAUUUCUGUGCAAAGCUAUAAUGGAGAUCUGUUGUAUGAGCCAUGGGAAGCAUAUGAUGAAAGUGGACAUGCUUUUACUACCUUUGAGGCAUAUUGGAACAAGAGCUUGCACUUGCAAAUUGAAACUGUUUCAGUUCUUCCUCCAAGGAAAUUGGUGCCAGCUGCAGGAACUGUCAAAAAGUGUUCAAUUGAGGAAUUGGGUCUUGAAGACGAAUCAGAAAAAUCUAGCAAUGCCUUAUUAGGAAGAGCGUGGUUUCCAGGUUGGAGCAAUGCUGAUAAGACUCUAACUGAAUUUGUUGAGCGGCAUCUGCUUGACUAUUCUAAGAAUAGGCUAAAGGUUGGGGGGAACUCCACAUCAUUUUUGUCCCCAUAUCUUCAUUAUGGAGAACUAAGUGUGCGGAAAGUUUUCCAGUAUGUGAGAAUGAAACAGAUUUUGUGUAUAAAAGAAGGAGACUCCUUGGGAGAAGAGAGUGUGACACUUUUCCUCAGGGCCAUUGGGCUUAGAGAAUACUCCCGUUAUCUUUGUUUCAACUUCCCCUUCACGCAUGAGAGAUCAUUACUGAGCAACUUGAAAUCUUUCCCUUGGCAUGCUGACCUAGCCAAUUUUAAGGCUUGGCGACAGGGUCGGACUGGCUACCCAUUAGUUGAUGCAGGAAUGAGAGAACUUUGGGCAACUGGGUGGAUACACAAUCGAGUAAGAGUAAUUGUUUCAAGUUUUGCGGUGAAAGUUUUACUUCUUCCAUGGAAAUGGGGGAUGAAGUAUUUCUGGGACACACUUUUGGAUGCAGACUUAGAAAGUGAUAUCCUUGGUUGGCAGUAUAUCUCAGGGAGCUUGCCGGAUGGCCAUGACCUUGAGCGAUUGGACAGCCCAGAGAUUCAGGGCUCCAAAUUCGAUCCAGAGGGUGAAUAUGUGAGGCAUUGGCUGCCUGAACUAGCACGGAUGCCAACUGAAUGGAUUCAUCACCCUUGGGAUGCACCCUUUAGUGUGCUCAAAGCUUCAGGGGUAGAGUUGGGAUUAAACUAUCCAAAACCUAUAAUUGAGCUAGAUUUGGCUAGAGAACGUUUGACUGAAGCUAUAUUCAAAAUGUGGGAAAUAGAAGCAGCUGCUAGAGCUGCAAACUCAAAUGGCACGAAAGAAGAAGUUGUUGAUAAUUCUGAUGGUACUGAAAAUUUGGCCAUUCCAAAGGUUCUCUUAAAGGUAAAGAGUUCUUGUCCUACUACUUCAUCAAAUGAUCAGAGGGUGCCCACAAUUCAAAAUUCAAAGAAUCAUCCAUCCAAUAGGAAGAGAUCUAAAUGUAUGGAAGAGGAAAAGCCACUCCUAAAUAAUCUGCAUAAGCUUAACGGUGAAGGUGGGACCUCAAGAACUGAUGAAGACGUAUGCUCUACGGCUGAAUCUUCAUCGGUAAAGAAGAAAACCACCAGUAGAAAUUCUUUUUCUGUUCCUCAGGUGUGCUUUUCAUCAGAAGAAAUGUCUUUUCCAGAUUGUGAAUCUUCUGGCUUGAGGCAGCCAAGGCAAGAGCAGACUGACAUGGAACAGAUUUCAAGCAAAGAUGCAGGUGGGCUUAGUUGUUCAACAAAAGGCUUUAAAGUGGCAGCUGUUGCGGCGGGUAGGGAAAAAUGACGACGGUGGUCGUUCCUAGGGCGAUGAUACUAUAUAGAAUCUAAAAAUCGGUUUGUUGAGCAAUUGGAGGGGAAUGCCCUUGACAUUCAUUGUAAUGUUGAGCAGAGAAAGAGGAGCGGUACGGUUUGGUGUAAUUAAUGUUCUUUGUAUGACUACUUGAACGUGUUUUUUGUAAUGUAUAUAUAUAUAAAGCCGAAACAACACCCACUAUGGGCAACAACUUUUCACGUUAAUCAGCAGGUAACCGUAUAUUGUAUAUAAACAAUGCCAGAGUUGUUUUAAAUUUUAAGUAGAGAGAAGAGAAGAGACAAAAAAAAUGUAUGGGUAAAAAUGUGUGGCAGCAUGUAUAUGUGUUUAUAUAUCUUUCUCGUUUUUUGAAUUUGUGAAAGGCAUUUAGAUUGUGGAUUAUAUGAGUAUUGCUCCAGUAGUAUGCUCUACCACCAAGAGACGAAUUCAAGAACGAA